GUCUGUGGCCAUGCUACCCUGAACAAGCCCGAUCCCAUCCUGAUCUUGGAAGCUAAGCAGGGUUGGGCCUGGUUAGUACUUGGAUGGGAGACCACCUAGGAAGACCAGGUGCUGUAGGCG
rfam:Pteropus alecto contig109128, whole genome shotgun sequence.